rnacentral:rRNA from 1 species
CACGUAGGGGGCAAGCGUUGUCCGGAUUUAUUGGGCGUAAAGAGCUCGUAGGCGGUUUCGUAAGUCGGGUGUGAAAACUCUAGGCUCAACCUAGAGACGCCACCCGAUACUGCGAUGACUAGAGUCCGGUAGGGGAGUGUGGAAUUCCUGGUGUAGCGGUGAAAUGCGCAGAUAUCAGGAGGAACACCAACGGCGAAGGGAGAACGCGGGGCCGGAACUGACGCUGAGGAGCGAAAGCGUGGGU